rnacentral:misc_RNA from 1 species
AAAUACUGAAAGACCUCUCCCGGGGGGGCCUGGCCUUGUGGUUUCUGCGUUCUGCGGAACUGCGGAAAUUCACUACGUUGCCAGGGGGUCCCGGGGGAGUGAUUUUCAAACCCUUGUGAACCACAACUCUGUUGCUUCGGGGGCGACCCCGCCGUCUCGGCGGUGGUGCUCCCGGUGGCCAUCAAUCAAACUCUGCAUCACCUUGCGUCGGAGUCUUAUAAAGAAUUAAACA